rnacentral:rRNA from 1 species
UUUCUGCCACCGAAUACAUUAGCAUGGGAUAAUGGAAUAGGACCCUGUCCUCCUAUUUUCAGUUGGUUUUGGCAGCGCGAGGACUAGGGUAAUGAUUAAUAGGGAUAGUUGGGGGCAUUAAUAUUUAAUUGUCAGAGGUGAAAUUCUUGGAUUUAUGAAAGAUUAACUUCUGCGAAAGCAUCUGCCAAGGAUGUUUUCAUUNAAUCAAGAACGAAAGNUUAGGGGAUCGAAGACGAUCAGAUACCGUCGUAGUCUUAACCAUUAAA